ensembl:lncRNA
GUUUAAGGCUGACCUACUUUUAGGUGACAAGAUCAAAUUAAUCACGAGGCAUUAUCGUUAAGUUUUAAAGUUGGUCCGCUCCGUUCUAGAACUAAGCAUUACCUGCCACCUCGCUUGGAAUGUUAUUGCUGCCUCUCAUGUGGAACUUUGUUACUUUCUCACGGAAAUGCAGCCUAAAAUGUUAAUUCCUAACAACCAAACCCCAACACCGGGAGGGGACGCUUCUUUCUCCUGACUCCGAAGCACUGCGAAGUUUGAGGUCCUAAAGCAGGAGGUAACAAGCUCACAGGCUUCCACCCUUUCCUGGAGGAAGGAGCACAGCUGAGGCCUGCGGACUGCGCAGUCCACGUUCGAGUAAAAAAUUUUUUUCUUUGCACCCAUUCUGUUUUGACGCACUGCAACUCUGUAACAGGUGACAGUGUGAUCCCAAGGCCACAGGGACCCGGGAACGGAGGGGCAGAGGCGGCACAUAGAUCAGACGCCCAAACCUGGCCUCCUCCAGCCGCGUCCCCGAGCCUGUGCAAUCUGCUCCAGGUGGCAUACAGGACAGUCCUCCCGCGACGGGCGGUGGCACGUUCCCGCCGGCGUCUCUGCGGCCUCCCGCACCCCGGGACCCUUGGCACGCGGCAGCCGCCCCGCUCGCUCCGUUUGCAGAAGACACCCAGGCCCAGGGUACGACCCGCAGCUCGCGGCUGGGCCCGGCCGGGGCGGGGCGGGGCCGGGGGCGGGGCGGUGACGCGACCGCGCGCGGGCGGGCGGGCGAGCGGGCGGGCGCUCAGCGGCUGCUGAGGUGCGGAGGCCGCCGCGCCGCGCCGGUCCGCUCCGCUCGGACUGUUCCGGGAGUCGGGCGGGGAGCGCAGGCCGAGACCCAGCGGACCGGACGACCUCUCCUUCGUCACUUCCUGCCGGCCCGCGGUUUCCGGAGGGAACGAGAAGCCAGGUUUUGUUAUUGGUUUUUCUUCCUUCCCUCUUUCGGAAUCGGAGCCGGGCGCCGUGGCGGCCCGCGUGCCGCGUGUGGCGGGAGCGCGGCGCGGCGCGGCGGUGCGCCUCUCCGUGCGCCGCGACCCGGGUCGGCGCGGGCGGGAAGCGGCGGGCUCAGGCCGGAGGGCGCCGAGGCUCCUCCGCGGUGGGGCGGUCUCGGGGUGUCUGCGCGUGCUCCCGAGAGGAAGCUGGCUGGCUGGGUUCUCGGUCUCCUCAUCUUCCCGGCUGCGAGGCCAAGGCGAUUGCUCUCGCAUCUUUGCGUGAAUGGCUAGGGUAUUUUUCAAAGAAGAAAAGACAACAAAAACUUUGCCUAGUGACUUGAAUGGUUAAGGUUUUCCAGCGUGAGGCAGGUGAUGAUUGUUCUGUGGGGUUGCAGUUUCGCCAUUAAACCGAUCAGUCUGUCCCCAGGUUAGUGCGGCCAUGCAAAUAAAGCGGCCCAUUGUCCACGUGCUUAAGGGCUUAGCUAUUCCAGCAGGGCAAGUUCUCUGGGAUCAUCUGACUUCUUGUUACAGUUCUUGCUCGCAGUGUAGCGGUUCUGUUGAAUUGGUAUGCAGAUAUACGAGUAAAUAAUACUGUAACUUUUAGCAAGUUGUCUUGCCUUAUCACAAACUCACCUUCCCCUAGGUACAGAAACAUACCAGCCUACUUUAUACUAUCACUAUAUGUGCAUUUACGUAUAUCAUAUACACAACCAUUUAUAUAAUGUUUAACCAUUGAGUUUAAAGUUAAGAAAUUAGAAACAGUAGUAGUGGGCUGUUUGCUAGGACAGUGCCAGAUGUUCAUAGAUGUUUUAUAUCAGUUCAUUUUCAAGGGUAGCUUCUUGCUUAAGAGAAGAUUGUUCCCUUUUUUCAGCGCUUGAGUUCGGUUUGCAUGCACCACUGUGUAUAAAACGUUUGCUUUAAAGAGUUGUUUCUUUUGUGAAAUUAAGGGUGUUGAUCACAGAGUAGCUCAGCAAAUUAGUGCGGCUUUAAAAGUAGAAUUGCACCUAAUCCAUUUGGGUGUUUAGUACUUUAAAAACCCUUGUGACUCUUACUCAUGAGUGCCCAUUAUAUAACAUGAUUCAGAAGUUGAUCAAGAUAAGGUGGGCACUAAGGUACUAACAAUACUUGAAGGGACCCCCUGUGUGUUUCUUAGUACAGUUCCUAACUAAAGGAAAACAUGUGAAAUUAUUUUUUCAACACCAAACUAAGAAAAUUAAAACAAACAGCAGGCUGUUAAGAUUUGCUGGAGUGUGUCUUUUUUCCCUCCCUCUCAUCUUUUAGAUAAGGUUUCACUGACUGGCCUGGAUUUAUGUAGACCAGGAUAUCUCUGAACUCAAGAGACCUACCUGCCUCUGCUUCCUGAAUGCUGGGAUCACUCAGCUAGGAGUGUUGGGGUUUCACUGAGCCUUUGAAUAUUAAGAAUGGUAGAUUUUUCUGUAUUGUGACUAGUUGUGCAUACCUUUUAAAUUAGGGUUUAAGUAUUUUAAACACAUAUUCAAUAUUAUAUCCAGUAUAAGACUAGACUAUAAAGAUGCCAUUUAAUGAUUUAGGUAGCCAUAACAGUUCAAAAACUGAUUUGUGAGGGUGAUAGAGUCUCGUAUCAUGAGAGAGUAGAAAGAUUUGACAAACUGAGGGACAUGGUUGGAAGCUUGUGCCUGUGGCUAAAUUAGCAUAUUGGAACUUACCUAUCAGAUAAUUCUAAUGGGUACGUUACUGGGAAGAAAUAAAUGUUGGCAAAGCUUUGUUAGUUGGUAUUUACCAAAGGGUUUCUUUCUUUACCUGAGGACAUUGCCUUUGUUGAAGGAGGCAAAUACAGAAGAGAAAGUUACAAAUUGACUUUCUGAGUGAAUAUUUCUCUGUAAAUAACUCUUGCUACCGCAUACAGAUCUCCUCAAGCACGUUGCAAGCUUUGAGAUGUGCCAGUAGUUGAUGGUAGAUGAAAGAAAGAAAAGGGGAAGAGAGAAUAGUGUUAGGAAUCCCCUUCUGUCCUUUGGGAAAAAUUUUGGAACUAUGAACAAAAUCUAUCCCAAUAAUAGUAACAACAAGAUAUAAAUCAUACCAUUUGUUAUUAAGAAGUAGGGAAAUAUAUUCCCUUAAUAUAAUCUACACCCAAUUGAGUAGAUUUAAAAUAACCUGUAGUACAUGAAGAGUUACUAAAUUAUUCAUAUGCACCAUUUCUAUGUUUGUGACAGCUGUAGUGACCAUAGCACAGACUUAGCUCCUGUCUGUAAGUGGUGAUAGGAAGGCAAGCCUGUCUCAUCUUCACUUCAAAACUGGGCUUCUGGGCUGGGGAGGCAAUUCAGUGUGAGAAUUUGCCUAGAAUGCUUGGAGUCCUGGGUCCUGUUCCCACAUUGCCAAAACUGAAAUGGGAAAAGUUGUCUCUGGUGUAAGUGUCCUUUAGCCCACAGACUCCAAGUCAGUUUGUGCUGCAAGUGAGUUGUUGCUUGUCCCCAGGGCCUAGAACAGAGCCUGGGCAGGGAAAGUAUCUAUGAAAUGAACAAUGUAGCAAGUGCGUCUGUUUCCUUCUUAGGUCUGUCUUGCCCUUAUUUAAGGGCUAUUCCAGGCUACCUCUAUAGUUUAAUCCUACACUAGUUUUUCAUGGAGUUUGUUUCCUCACUUCAAAUGCAAUGUUGGUUAAGGCUGUUCCUAUUUAUACAGCACUAUAUUUGAGAAUUGCCCUGGCAUCUGUUAUGUCUAUACACAGCUGGCUUGUGUGUACCUAUUGAAUAAAUACUGGUUAUCAUGGGAAAACAUCAAAUGUAUCUUAACCCAUAGGUAAUAUGUUAGUUGGGCAAGCUUUGUAUACAUUUAUGAAACAUUGUAAAAACCGAGUGCCAAGAAAUAAUAGGGGAUACUUAAUGUAGCACUUAAAACAUGCCAGCUGCUGGGCCCUUUGCAAGUUCAUUUAUUUGUGUCUCAACAGUUUUUGCUGGGGGUACUUAUUAUCCUAUUUUUUUUAAAGAUUUAUUUAUUUAUUUAUUUAUUUUAAAGAUUUAUUUAUUAUAUAUGAGUUCACUGUCACUGUCUUCAGACACAACAGAAGAGGGCAUCUGAUUUACAAGUAGUUGUGAGCCACCAUGUGGUUGCUGGGAUUUGAACUCAGGACCUCUGUAAGAGCAGUCAGUGCUCUUAACCACUGAGCCAUCUCUCCAGCCACUAUUUAUUUAUUUUAUUUUAUAUGAGUACACUGUCCCUGUCUUCAGACACACCAGAAGAGGGCAUCUGAUCCUAUUACAGAUGGCUGUGAGCCACUAUGUGGUUCACAUGUGGGAUUUGAACUCAGGACCUCUGGAAGAGCAGUCAGUGCUCUUAACCACUGAGCCAUCUCUCCAGCUCCUUUUGUCAUGUUUUUAUCUCUUUACUGAAUUCCUUUUUCAGUGACAGUAUUCAGCAUUUCCUUCAGCUUUAUGUGUGUUUCCUUGGGAGCCAGUCAUGCAUUUGCUCUCUUGAAGCUCUCUGUUUGAUUUCAUGUGUCUUUCUUAAAUUCCUUGGCUAUUUUUAUGAAAUUUAUGACUUUUCUUUUAAUAACCACGGAGCCAUCUCUCCAACCCUAUUCUAUUUUUCAAGGAGGAAAUGGAUACACAACAAAGUUUCUAACCAAGAUUAUGAUGUGCAUAGUUAAGAAGCCAAGCUUCUCUGUGGAUUGUUUGUGUGGUUGGUGUAAGGGACAGGGUCAGGGUGGGGGCGGUAGUGAUGGAAGGGAUGGGAGUGGGAUAGAGGGGUUGGGGUGGAUACAAGUACAAAGAAAGAUGUCAAGUAACCUACUCUGUCACUGCCUGCCUUAUUUCCUGGAGACAGGGUCUCUGAGCCUGGAGCUGUGUUGAUGACUCUCGAGCCCCAAUGAUCCCACAGAACAGGGGCUUUUACCGUGGUACUGGGGAUUAGAACUCAUGUUUGUGUAGCAAUUGCUUAUGCUUGUGUAACACUGAGCCAUCUCUGCAGCCUAGGAAUAUUAUUGUAUCAUUUGAAAGAACUAGAUAUUCAUACUUUCUUCUGUAGUUAUAAGAGGUGCUCUUGGCUGGGGCGGAGGGCGGCUGGAGAGAUGCUCGGUGGUUAGAGCCUUGCUGUUCUGGCAGAGAACCUGAGUGGUUCUCAGCACCCGCUUAGCAGCUUAUAACCAUCCACAGCAUCUCCAGUUCCGGGGGUCUGCUCCUGUCUUCUGUGGCACCAAGCGUGUAAACAACCACGUGCAUAAAAUAAAAACAGACGCUCUAUUUAGUUAAUCGUGGUGCUAGUGGUCUGGGCCUCACGCAUGCUAACUGAGUGGUCUGCCACAUCUCCUUCCCAACCCUAAGGAUGUUCCUUUUAAAAGUUUCAAGUGGGACUAGCAAGAUGGCCCAGCAGGUAAAAGGUACUUGCCACCAAGCCUGUUGACCGACCCGAGUUCCAUUUCUAGAAUUUAUGAUGGAAACAGACAACCAGCUCUCAAAAGUUAUCCACCGACUUAUACACGAACAUAAAAAUGUAUUAUUAUUUUUUUUAAUCCUUAAAAGUUCAGGGUAGAAAGAACAAAGUACAGUGACUACGCUAUCUUUGUGAGUUUUCCAGGUAGAGGGGGGGGUACUGAAGUGGUCAAAGACCAUUACAGGGGCAGAGGAUGAGGGAGAAGAAACUGAAUUUUGACUCACAGCUGAGUAAAGUUUUGGUGUUGGCUGUCGGAUUCUCGGAUAAUGAUUUACCAGGACAAUGACUUGUUAGUUCUUGCCCUGGGUGUUAGAACACUUUUGCCAAACAAGACAGUGCUGAGUGACACAUGACAGUUCGCUGGCUACUUUUCACAAGCGCUUGUUAGAUUUAAAUCACUGUGUGGGAAUCUCGAUAGUGGUGUGGGUAUGACUGACAUUGCCCUUGGGUUGUCUGCCCUCCGUGGAAUUCUGACCCCACUUUGUCAGCCCGUGUUGAGCAAUAGAUAACUCCCUUAGAAAAGGUCAGGUCCUCCUCUGACCAAGUACUUUUUUUCCCCUUCUUUUUUUAAAUGGCGGACCAAGAUGUAAAAUUUUAUGUUGAUUGGGUAUAAACCUGGAAUAGAGUCAGAAGUGUAGGAUCAGAUGAGGACCUAACAAAUCCAGCAAUGUAAAGAUAAACAGUAUUCUCCCCAAAUCUAGAUGCUUCCCCUUUCUGUCAGCACUCGGUGGUGUUUCAGGGGCACUGGAUGUCAGCAGUCUUUGAGUGUCAAUCGCUGUACAGAUAGGGAAUUCUACCUCACCUGGCCACUCUCUAGGAACCACGAAGACGUCCCUUUAAAUGAAGCAUGGGCCACCAACCUGGUCAGCAGCCAGGCUGCACACACCUGUGAAGGACCCUUACCUUGAAAGCGGCAUGACUGGCUUCCAUAUCAUCUUUGAAUAUGAGCGAUAUUCCCAGUUUCAGCAUGUCCUCACAGAGACCAGCACACCAGGUUUAUUUCAGGAAGCCUCUCAACUCCGCAAGUACUGUGCUGUCUGUCUGCACAUGGACUGGAUUGCCCACUGACUCAUACAAACAUCGGGAAAAUGGUGAAGGACUGAUGGAAGGCGGGUUUCAGGAAGCAACUCCAGCCCACUUACAGCUUCAAGCAGCUUGAAAGAAGAUAAUUCUAGAACUGAGUGACGAGAUCCCAGUCAUUUCUACAUUUGUAAAGACGUUCAUCGUCUUUAUUAACCCAUCUGCUUGGGGAAUGGUAUUUGAGCCAUUGUCCAUCACUGUAGCAGCUACAAUCUACUUGUGAUCAGAGUUUUAUCUGUGGGUACAGAAAUCUCAUCAGUAGUAUAUGGAAUAGAAACCGUUCAUCAGGACAGUGAGGCACACCCCUCCCUCCCCCUCCCACACACACUGGUGGAAGUUCACCUUCAUUAAACAGUCACUGAAGAGUGUGGUGCCCACUGAGUGUCAGUUGUUUCUAAUCCACAGUUUCAGUGGGAGUUCUGGUUUUCUUUGUCUACUCAGGGCAUUCUCGAACAAGUUAUAGCACUGAAGAGCUGAUAAUCAUAUUUGGAGGUGUUAAAAUAAGAAUUGAGCUGGGUGAGGUGGGUACACCUUUAAUCCCAAAAUUCAGGAAGCAGAGACAGGUGGAUCUCUGAGUUCGAAGCCAUCCUGGUCUACAGAGUGAGCUCCAGGACAGCCAGGACUACACAGAGAAACCCUGUCUGGGGUGGAGGGGCAAGGGGUCCAUCUUUGUAAAUAGAAUUUUAAUAUACUUACUCUUCUACCUUAUGUUUUCUAGAAUGAACAACAAUUUCUAAUGAUGCUGACACACGCCAGUAAUCUUAGCACGUGGGAGGGGGAGGCAGGAGAAUCACGAAUUUAAAGUCAUCUUCUGCUUUGUAGUUAGCUGAAGCCAUUCUAAGCUAAGUAAGACCCUGCCUCCUAACAUUAGGACGGGAAAAAGUAGCUUCCGUUCUUUUCAGGAUUGGUCUUCUUUUUUCUUAUCCACUGUUUAGUUGUUACUCUCAUUCAUUGGUGCUACUUGGUAACCUGAGUGUCCUGGAAGUAGCAGACAGUAGAACUUUCUAAUCUUAAACUUCGUGUUACGUUUCAGACCAGUUUUUAGUCUGUUGCUAUGACAUCGCCCUCUUACCCUUCCCACAUAGUAUAUUGGGAAAGGCAUGCAAAAGAAAGAAAACACAUUCGUGUAGAUAUCUAAGUGAAAAUCAGUCUUGAGGUCAUUAAUGCCCCGUAUGCAUUCAGAUAGGAAUUAGUUUGUUGUUUAGAAUUAAGACCCUUGGUGCUGUAAGUUGUAUUUUCAGCUCUUUCUAUUAUGACCCUAUCCUAACUGAAGAUGACUUGAUUUCUUAAGUACAUUCUUGUAACUUAAGGGACAUUUUUGUGCUUACAAUUCAUGUUUUACCCAACAAGGACAAAUAAAAGAAAAAGAACAAGUUUUUAAUGUAGUGAAGCAAAAUUCCAUAAAGCAUUUGGUUCACUUUAAUAUUUUCCCCUGUGGGAGGCCUGCUUUCCUUUCUUCCUCUUCUGCCUGAUAUCCAUCAGCCACUUAUUCUCAGUCAUACAUUCUUUUUACCACCUAUCACCAUCUAUUUAAUUUCUAGGUGUUUUGUCUCUCCCAUGGGUCAACUUUCUGUUUUAAAUCUUUGUGGGUUUUUUUUUUUUAAUUAAAACAUUUAUUUCAAUUAUGCGUGUAGAUGUAUCUGUGUGUAUGUGCACAUGAGUACAGUACUGUUGGAGGCCAGAAGAGGGCAGCACAUCCUCAAGCUGGAGUCAUGGGCAAUUGUGGACUGUUAGGAACCACACAGGUUCUCUGCAAGAGCAGCAUAAGCAAUUAACUGCAGAGUCUCUAGUCCCUUUCUCUGUUUUCUCCCUCUUUACCUGGCUGUGCCUUCCUCCUAGUCUGCCACCAGCAGACUAGCUUCCUCCCUUGUUCAUCUUGUCAGUAUUUUGGUCCAGUCUGGUAUUUUGGCAUUUGGUCUGUGUUUCAGCUCCAAACAAAUGCUGUUUCUGUUUGCUCCAGGGGCCCUUGCUUCUUUGUUCUUAGGAGACAGGCAUUACUAGAUAUAUUUGCUAUCAGGCUUUGCCCAGAACACAGACCCUCUUUAUGUGUUUUCUGAGUAUUUUAGAUAAAUCAGUUACCGACUUUUCCUGGGAACAUUGAGGUUUCUGUGUUCUUCGAGUCCAAGAGUUAAGAUUGGUGCUUUAGAUAACCAAUGUUACUUCAGAAUUAGUCAACAUAGACGAAUGGAGCUGUGACUCUUAACUAGUCACAGGUGUCGACAUUUAUUACUCCUUUGCCUUAAAGGUUUUGUCAUAAGCACACCAUAUCAGAACCAUAGACAAAUAUGUGUGUGUCUUUCCACGGUGACGGAACUAAUUUCCAAGGCACUGCCGUUUCUCUGGCAGCAGUUUCCAGAUGAUUCCAUUUUCCUUGGUAAUUUGCUGAGGUGACCAGCAAAUUACCUUUUUUUUAAAAAAGACUGAUUAAUUUGUGGGUAAAUAAAAAUGAAUCCAUGUGCUCUGUUGUGCAUAGAACCCCUUACACUCUUGCCCAGAUAAGGAGACCAGUCGAAAUGCCUGAAAUUCCUAGUACAGGCAGGUGUGAGUCCCCAGUGUAGGUGCUGGGAACCAAACCCAGGUCCUCUGCAAGAUCAGGGUCCCUAAGCUCAGAGGCCCCUCUCCCAUCUUAAUCUAAUCUUUACUAAAACUAACUCAUUGUUACAGAGGUUAGAACAAAAAAAUGCACGGUUGGGAAAAGCUGACUUGAAGUUCUUCCUCAGAAUGAGCUUUGCUAGGAGAGAGGGAGAACACAAACAAGUGCUUCAGGACCAUGGGGUAGCAGGGUGCACAUCAGGCCUUGAAGUGAAACAGCAGUUAGAGUCAUGAUGG